rnacentral:rRNA from 1 species
AUGGCGCCCACGCCCUCCUUCCUCUUCGGCGCCGCCCCGGAGGACACGCCGGCGGCUGACAUGUCGGCCCAUGCCAUGGUGCCAGACCUCUCCGACGCGGUGGCGCGGGCGAGGCUGCGCCGGCAGGCGGCGUCCGGGCCGGGGAGGCAGCAGGCGGCCUCCCGCGGCGGGGCGCUGCCCAGGAAGACCCCGCAGCGCGGCCUCGGCGUGGCGGAGCUCGAGCGCCUGCGCUGCGGCGGCGUCGACCCGCUGCGCGACCUCAACUCCGCGGCCGCGGCCGCCAUGCUGGAGGCCGCCGCCGCCAACCUGCAGGCGCAGGGCAACUCCGUCGUCCUGCAGCACCACCACGACUACCUGCCCGCCUUCGACGCCGCCACCGGCUCGCGCUACUACUCGCCGCUCCUGGUCCAGCCGCCGCCCGCCCCUCCGGCGCCGCAGCCGCAGCCGCAGGCUCCCGUCCGCUACGUCCAGGGCAUGGCGCCCGAGCAGCAGUACUUCAUGGACCGCUGGGACCGCAUGGGGGGCUUCGUCCCGGCGGGCAGUGGCCACCAGCCGCAGCUCCAGGUGCCGGCGCCAGAGUGCCCUUCAAGCCAAAGCACCAUCUGGCGUCCGGCGUGCUCCUCCGCCUCCUGCGGCUGCCUCCACGCGGGCCAACGCUGCGACCUCUGCUCCAAGAUGAUGGUGGCCAUGGCAGAUAGAGGAACAAGGAGCCCUGCCACCGCCACCGCCAACGCGCCAUACUACUCCAUCUACGAUCUCGCCGCCACCAUGGCCAUGACCGCCGCUUGCAAGGAGACGACCGGACAAGGGUUCUUGGCACCGGAGGGGAGGAAGGAGGUGCGGGAGAUCGAGUUCUUCCCGACGAGGGUCACCAGCCACGGCGGUCCAGACGAGUCAGAGCUGCGUAGGAAGCCGCCUUCCUCCUCCUGGCCGUCCGGCGGCGUCGGUGGCUCCCUGGACCUGUCCCUGAGGCUCUAG